rnacentral:rRNA from 1 species
UACAGAGGCCUCGAGCGUUAGGCGGAAUCACUGGGCUUAAAGCGUGUGUAGGCGGACUUCUAAGUACCUUGUGAAAUCCCACGGCUCACCCGUGGAACUGCUCGGUAUACUGGUCGUCUUGAGCCUUCUAGGGGCGAGUGGAACAAAUGGUGGAGCGGUGAAAUGCGUAGAUAUCAUUUGGAACGCCAAUGGUGAAAACAACUCGCUGGGGAAGUGCUGACGCUGAGGCGCGAAAGCGUGGGGAGCAAACAGG